AUUGAACGCUGGCGGCAUGCUUUACACAUGCAAGUCGAACGGUAACAGGUUAAGCUGACGAGUGGCGAACGGGUGAGUAAUGCAUCGGAACGUGCCCGAUCGUGGGGGAUAACGCAGCGAAAGCUGCGCUAAUACCGCAUACGAUCUGAGGAUGAAAGCGGGGGACCGUAAGGCCUCGCGCGAUCGGAGCGGCCGAUGUCAGCUUAGGUAGUUGGUGGGGUAAAGGCUCACCAAGCCGACGCUCUGUAGCUGGUCUGAGAGGACGACCGGCCACACUGGGACUGAGACACGGCCCAGACUCCUACGGGAGGCAGCAGUGGGGAAUUUUGGACAAUGGGCGAAAGCCUGAUCCAGCAAUGCCGCGUGCAGGAAGAAGGCCUUCGGGUUGUAAACUGCUUUUGUACGGAGCGAAAAGGCUCUCUCUAAUACAGGGGGCUCAUGACGGUACCGUAAGAAUAAGCACCGGCUAACUACGUGCCAGCCGCCGCAGUAAGAC
rnacentral:rRNA from 1 species